rnacentral:lncRNA from 1 species
UUAAAAAAUAUUUUUCUUAAUAAUUAUGAGACGUUGAGAAGAAAAAAAGUUACUGGAUGUUUUUGUUUUACUCCUAGGCCAGUUUUAUUAAAUCUAUAUAUAAUGACCAUACAUCUUUUUAGUUUUUUUUUUCUCAAUUUUACAAAUAAAAAACUAAAAGCUAAGUAUCUUUUCUAAUAUAUUGUUGCUCUUUUACAGCUAAACAUUUCUGCCCUCUUAUCAGUUUAAAAGCAGACUAAAUUAGUCUUUUAACACAAGACGAGAGGGAUUUAAUAUUCAUUAAUAACAUGUGAGGGCCCAAACUAAUGGGCCUGAAUUAGAUUUUGAUUGUUUUAAUUCAUUAUUCUGUCAUCAAAUUAUAAUCUUAAGACAUUAAUUUAUAAAGUCAGUUGUUAACUGUUUCAAUUUAUUAUUUAUGAUUCUGAGAUCGUAUAAUAAUAUUGUAAUAUUAAAGUAUAAAGUUGGAAUAUGUAAUCUUCAAACACACCAAACAUAUUCAUCAAUAUCAUCAGAAUUUCUUUUAAUAUAAGACCUUUAGAUUAUACAAAAAAAUAAGUUAUGAACACUUCUCACUUUUUCUUUU